CCUGGUGGCGAGUGGCGAACGGGUGAGUAAUACAUCGGAACGUGUCUAUAAGUGGGGGAUAACGCAUCGAAAGGUGUGCUAAUACCGCAUACGAUCUACGGAUGAAAGCGGGGGAUCGCAAGACCUCGCGCGAUUGGAGCGGCCGAUAUCUGAUUAGGUAGUUGGUAGGGUAAAGGCCUACCAAGCCGACGAUCAGUAGCUGGUCUGAGAGGACGAUCAGCCACACUGGAACUGAGACACGGUCCAGACUCC
rnacentral:rRNA from 1 species